UACGUAGGGUGCAAGCGUUAAUCGGAAUUACUGGGCGUAAAGCGUGCGCAGGCGGUUAUGUAAGACAGUUGUGAAAUCCCGGGGCUCAACCCCGGAACUGCAUUCGAUACUGCUGAGCUAGAGUACUGGAGAGGAGAUUGGAAUUUACGGUGUAGCAGUGAAAUGCGUAGAUAUCGUAAGGAAGACCAGUGGCGAAGGCGGAUCUCUGGACAGUUACUGACACUGAGGCACGAAGGCCAGGGGAGCAAACGGGG
rnacentral:rRNA from 1 species